UUGAACGCUGGCGGCAUGCCUUACACAUGCAAGUCGAACGGUAGAGGGGCAACCCUUGAGAGUGGCGAACGGGUGAGUAAUAUAUCGGAACGUGCCCAGUCGUGGGGGAUAACGCAGCGAAAGCUGCGCUAAUACCGCAUACGAUCUAUGGAUGAAGGCGGGGGAUCGCAAGACCUCGCGCGAUUGGAGCGGCCGAUAUCAGAUUAGGUAGUUGGUGGGGUAAAAGCCCACCAAGCCGACGAUCUGUAGCUG
rnacentral:rRNA from 1 species